rnacentral:rRNA from 1 species
GUAAGGAAUAUUGGUCAAUGGGCGCAAGCCUGAACCAGCCAUGCCGCGUGCAGGAAGACGGCCCUAUGGGUUGUAAACUGCUUUUGUCAGGGAAUAAACCCCCGCUCGUGAGCGGGGCUGAAGGUACCUGAAGAAUAAGCAUCGGCUAACUCCGUGCCAGCAGCCGCGGUAAUACGGAGGAUGCAAGCGUUAUCCGGAUUCAUUGGGUUUAAAGGGUGCGCAGGCGGAUUGGUAAGUCAGGGGUGAAAUCCCACAGCUCAACUGUGGAACUGCCUUUGAUACUGUCAGUCUAGAGUAUAGUUGAAGUGGGCGGAAUGUGUCAUGUAGCGGUGAAAUGCUUAGAUAUGACACAGAACACCGAUCGCGAAGGCAGCUCGCUAAGCUAUAACUGACGCUCAUGCACGAAAGCGUGGGGAUCAAACAGGAUUAGAAACCCCUGUAGUCC